CUUCCAGACUCCUACGGGAGGCAGCAGUGGGGGAUAUUGCACAAUGGGGGGAACCCUGAUGCAGCGACGCCGCGUGGGUGAAGGAGCGUUUCGGCGCGUAAAGCCCUAUCGGCAGGGAAGAAGGAGGACGGUACCUGACUAAGAAGCCCCGGCUAACUACGUGCCAGCAGCCGCGGUAAUACGUAGGGGGCAAGCGUUAUCCGGAUUUACUGGGUGUAAAGGGGGCGCAGACGGCAGCGCAAGCCAGGAGUGAAAGCCCGGGGCUCAACCCCGGGCAUGCAUUGGAAACUGGCGGGCUGGAGUGCCGGAGAGGUAAGCGGAAUUCCUAGUGUAGCGGUGAAAUGCGUAGAUAUUAGGAGGAACACCAGUGGCGAAGGCGGCUUACUGGACGGCAACUGACGCUGAGGCUCGAAAGCGUGGGGAGCAAACAGGAUUAGAUACCCCGGUA
rnacentral:rRNA from 1 species